AUUGCCCUAGUAACGGCGAGUGAAGCGGCAACAGCUCAAAUUUGAAAUCUGGCUCCUUUGGUGCCCGAGUUGUAAUUUGCAGAGGGUGCUUUGGUGUUGGCUGUGGUCCAAGUUCCCUGGAACAGGACGUCACAGAGGGUGAGAACCCCGUACGUGGCCGCCAGUCUUCGCCGUGUAAAGCCCCUUCGACGAGUCGAGUUGUUUGGGAAUGCAGCUCUAAAUGGGAGGUAAAUUCCUUCUAAAGCUAAAUAUUGGCCAGAGACCGAUAGCGCACAAGUAGAGUGAUCGAAAGAUGAAAAGCACUUUGGAAAGAGAGUGAAAUAGCACGUGAAAUUGUUGAAAGGGAAGCGCUUGGAGCCAGACGUGCCCGUAGUUGCUCAGCCGGGGUUCUCCCCGGUGCACUCUUCUGCGGGCAGGCCAGCAUCAGUUUGGGCGGUUGGACAAAGGCCUGCUAAACGUACCUCCUCCCGGGGAGGACUUAUAGGGUAGGCGGCAUACGACCAGCCCGGACUGAGGACCGCGCAUCUGCUAGGAUGCUGGCGUAAUGGCUGUAAGCGGCCCGUCUUGAAACACGGACCAAGGAGUCUAACAUCUAUGCGAGUGUUUGGGUGUCAAGCCCGAGCGCGCAAUGAAAGUGAACGCAGGUGGGAGCCUCUCGGGGCGCACCAUCGACCGAUCCUGAUGUCUUCGGAAGGAUUUGAGUAAGAGCAUAGCUGUUGGGACCCGAAAGAUGGUGAACUAUGCCUGAAUAGGGUGAAGCCAGAGGAAACUCUGGUGGAGGCUCGCAGCGGUUCUGACGUGCAAAUCGAUCGUCAAAUUUGGGCAUAGGGGCGAAAGACUAAUCG
rnacentral:rRNA from 1 species